rnacentral:misc_RNA from 1 species
GUGUAAUCACGAGAGAAGAAUUCUUUUUUAAUGUCCAUAUCUUGCUCGAAAAACCUAUUGACACCAUCCAUCAUCUCCUUCAGGACACUUGCAGGAAUCCCAUGAUUAACAACUUCAAAAAAUCCCCAGUCCUCUGAAGCAUUUCGUACUUUGUCAAUGAUCUCCUUGCGAGAAAUUGAACCUUUAUCGACGCCUUCAAGGUCUAUGACAGGGAAAGUGAAGCUGGCGCCAACAUCAGUCUCAGCACACGAAAUUUUGUCCAAAUCAUCAGGCAAUCGAUAGAAAAUGCGAGGGACUUUGAUAAUUCCGCCAUCAACAAGUCCUUUAACACCAGCUUUCGUUUCAUCAAAAGCUUUUAGUUCACUCGUUCGGCAAUAUCCAGAGUUGAUUGCAGAGUCCAUUUUGUCUGUUGAGUGAGGCAAGGUUGAAAUGCUGGCUAGCUGUUCAACUCAUAAUUCAAGAAGAAACCUUAAGGUCCACAAAAUAAUAUAAAUGGU